rnacentral:lncRNA from 1 species
GAAUCGUCAGCUGACCUACCCAUUUGAAGUCUAUGAGAAUUCUGUGGAUCCGCAAACUUUGAGUGUAUGAUUAUUUCCAUACUCUGAUGAGACCAAUAACAUAAUGAUAAAAGUAAUCCUUUUUGUAUUUUGACAUUUGUAUUUUAUAGCCACUUAUGUUCUCAGUUAUAUGUGUAUUUAAAACUCAUAUAUUUUGUAAGUGAUUUGUAUUAA